AUGUUUUAUUGUACGUUAUAAACAUGAAGAGGCAGAGUUGUUAGAGUGCGUCACUAUGAGCCAUUCACGGAUUUAUAUUUGGUAUUUAUUCCUACCCUUGAUUUGCAAUGCGUAUAGCAAAUCUCUUGAAAAGCAUAGUUUAUUAAAUCGUACUAAUUACAAAUCUGUAGAAUAUGGAGAGCGGCUGUCCAGUGUUGAAAAUGGUAAGUACCAACUUCUUUCUUUA